CUGGCCUUAUCGGAACAGUCAGUCUGUGUUCCCCAGAGGUGGACUUUAAACACAGCCAUGGAGGCCGGGAGCAGAUCCGAGCGAUUAGAGAGGACAAAGGAGUCCCCAGAAAAAGCACACUGGGACCUGAGAUAAGCCAGUAAAGGAGCUGCUCCAGGACACUCUACCCUGAAGAGUGAAGAGGAGCUUGUGGAAUCACACGGCACAGUGUUCAAGUGUCAGUGAUUGUGAUUUCCCAGGAUCUCCUGGCACAACUUCCAAGCAAGAAAUGGGUUUUUAUAAGCGGACAGAAUUGACAAAGGUAUUCUUCCUGACCACACCUAACGAAGUUCCUCUGAGCUCCCUCCUCAGCUGGGCCCGGUUUCAGAGCAGGUUGCUUGCUUAUCUCCCACCCUCAGUAUCUCACCUCUCUUCAGGCUCCUGUCCCUACUUCAGUGAGAUAGCCCAAUUACUACUCAGUUAUCUUCUAGGUACUGCUCCGGCCCCAUAAACUGGAGUGGAGCUUAGACACUCACUGAAUCCUCACUACAGUUGUACCCUGCCCACUCCCCCAGUAAAGUCUACCUGUUUUAAGCAAGUGUUGUGAAGAUGUCUUUAAACAUGGAGUACCUAAACUUAAGUGGAUUAGU